UUCUUUUGAUGAGCCCGCUGCUAGUGGAGCAGGUCUCCUUUUUUGCUUCUGUUUCCCAGUCAGUAGGUGUGUUUCCUCCCGGACGAACGACGGAGUAUAGCAAUUACACCGAGCAAACUCGUUUGCUCCUCUAGGCUACGGUGAGAUUAUUCUCGAUGAGGUAGUUUGCAGCAAAUUGGUUUUCAGACUCUAGUCGGAUUCGUUGAUGAAGGAGAGGCGUCAGCGGCAAGGCCCAAGGCCUCGGCAGUAAGGUGUGACGACGAUUUACGGGCAUGCAGGAGGAGCGUGCGGCGGGCUAGGGAUUCCAACAUCGGCAAGAGGUGUGCGGCCGUGGCGCGCAUUGAGGCAGGUGGUGGAGCGAGGCGCACGGCGACGGGCACGGCAGGCGCAGCGCCGCGCAGCAGCCAGAUCUGCGGCUGAAGGCGGAGGUGCGGCAGGUUGGAGCAUGCGGAGACGAAGGCGAAGGCAUGGCGCGACCGAUGCAGCCGGGCGAGUUGAAGCGAAAACUGCAGUUGUGGAGAAGACCAGUAGGGGAGGAGACGGCAAGGCGGCCGGCGGCUUGGUGGGUGUGUUUGAGCGCAGACUGCGCGGGGCAGGCGAGCGGAUGGCCGGAGCUCAUCGCUAUACAGCGGGUUGAGUCGACCGUAAGAGCGGCGGCUCAGAGGAUGUUGUGGCUCGGGGUCGGCUUAAUACAGGGCGACACCGUCCCAGACCGAGAUGAACUCGGAGCGAGGCGGAGGCGCAUCACCAGCAUGGUAGGGCAGCUUGCGACGAAGCCAGCAGCAGUCGCGACGAGACCGAGUCUGCCUCUGAAUAGUGGUCUUUCUUCCAAUAGCUUCAUGUACGCGAUGUUUGAUACUGGACGCUGUUUUUGCUUUUAAUUUGAUAUGAGGGAACAGUCGCCUUA